GCCACCUUCGGUUUCAUUUAUUCUUUUGUUCGAAAUGUUACGCACAAAUGCGGCUUCCAUCGCAACAAGAAACCCAAUAACAAUUUAUUCCUUGGUAAUUAAAUUUCCUUUAAAACGUUGUAAUACACACUUUUAGAAAUCGAGUUCUUAUAAAUAAUCGUCAUUUAUUACGAGUUGAAAAGCACAGAUUUAAUUGAAGAGUAAUUGCCUCAUUAAUUAUCAGGACUAAAACCAGAUGUUCAACGUCGACACAUACCUAAUCAAUGUUAAUGUUACCAGUUAAAUCAGAUGUGAUAACUUAUCGUCUUUUACAAACUACUUUAGUACCGGUGAUUUAAGUGUCCAAGCAGAUAUGGACUGGUUCGGUGCGAACUUAAUCCGUAACCGUAGCAAUUGGAGGGUGGAAAUACCCGUGGGCUAUGCGAAAGUUAUAUUGGGAAAAUGGGGAGAAGUAGAAAAUUGUCUUUGGACCGGAAGUUCUGUGUAGCAACGGAGGCUGUAGAUUUUAUCGAAACGGCCUUCCUAAGAUCACGUUAAACUGCGCCACGACGAUUCUUGUCCUUUGAUAAUGCGAAUGAAACCAUUUGAAUUUGAUAAUAGAAACAGAAUGAAGCCAAUUUUACCCUUUCUAAUAAUAUCCCUGUACCAGUAACAGUAUCAUUUUCUCUUAUUAUCUUGAUUAUAGAAAGUAUGUUACUGGCGUUAUUGAUAUUUCGAGCACUCACACUAAUUAAAUUCUCGGUAUUGUUAGUAGAUAAAUACCAACGUUAAUCCCGCGUUGAAAACUAUGCGUUGCAUGUUCAUUUUGAUUUGGAGCUUGAUUGUGAUAUAAAAUCGAUUACAAUUAAUUAAUUCGGUUUCGUUUUACUGUUCAGAAUUAUAAUUGCAAUUUAAUUUUCUAUUUGGUCACUAUAAAUAUUCGACGUUUUUGUUGGUAUUGUUCACAUUUCACAUCAAAUAUAUUAUAAAAUAGG